rnacentral:lncRNA from 1 species
UAUUUUGCAACAAUGCCACUUUGCAGACCCUCUCUUCGUAGUCGGGCAUAUCAAGGAAUUAGUAAGAGAGUGGAGGGACUUUUGUUGAGCUAAUUAAAUAAACUGUUGAUUACUUUUGUUGUUAUUUUUCUUUUCUUUUUUCUUAAUUUGAGCUAUAUUUUUCUUCUCCAUGCCAUAUUGUCUCACUGUUUGUAGCCAAGUUUAUUUUCGAAAUGAAUGAAGCGGGUAGCGUGCAACUUUUUCCUCAAAAAAAAAUAAAUUAUGCAACAAUUUAAUCAUCUAUCACUUACUUUCAUUUUAACCUUU